rnacentral:rRNA from 1 species
AGAGUUUGAUCAUGGCUCAGGAUGAACGCUAGCGGGAGGCUUAACACAUGCAAGUCGAGGGGCAGCAUUAUCGCUUGCGAUAGAUGGCGACCGGCGAACGGGUGCGUAACGCGUAUGCAACUUACCCUUUACUGAAGAAUAGCCCAGAGAAAUUUGGAUUAAUACUUCAUGGUAUUACAAAUUCGCAUGUUUUUGUAAUUAAAGUUUUAACGGUAAAGGAUGGGCAUGCGUGACAUUAGUUUGUUGGUGAGGUAAUGGCUCACCAAGACUACGAUGUCUAGGGGUUCUGAGAGGAUGAUCCCCCACACUGGUACUGAGACACGGACCAGACUCCUACGGGAGGCAGCAGUGAGGAAUAUUGGACAAUGGAGGCAACUCUGAUCCAGCCAUCCCGCGUGCAGGAUGACGGCUCUCGGGUUGUAAACCCCUUUCAGCAGGGACGAAAAUGACGGUACCUGCAGAAGAAGCUCCGGCCAACUACGUGCCAGCAGCCGCGGUAACACGUAGGGAGCAAGCGUUGUCCGGAUUUAUUGGGCGUAAAGAGCUCGUAGGCGGCUCAGUAAGUCGGGUGUGAAAUUUCAGGGCUUAACCCUGAAACGCCACCCGAUACUGCUGUGGCUAGAGUACGGUAGAGGAGUGUGGAAUUCCUGGUGUAGCGGUGAAAUGCGCAGAUAUCAGGAGGAACACCAACGGCGAAGGCAGCACUCUGGGCCGAUACUGACGCUGAGGAGCGAAAGCAUGGGGAGCAAACAGGAUUAGAUACCCUGGUAGUCCAUGCCGUAAACGUUGGGCACUAGAGCCGUUUGUUGACUUGAUCCGUGAGUGGCGCAGCUAACGCACUAAGUUGACCGCCUGGGGAGUACGGCCGCAAGGUUAAAACUCAAAUGAAUUGACGGGGGCCCGCACAAGCGGUGCAGCAUGUGGUUUAAUUCGAUGCAACGCGAAGAACCUUACCAUCCCUUGACAUCCAGAGAAGCGACAAGAGAUAGCUUAGUGCCUUCGGGAACUCUGUGACAGGUGCUGCAUGGCUGUCGUCAGCUCGUGUUGUGAAAUGUUGGGUUAAGUCCCGCAACGAGCGCAACCCCUAUCCUUAUUUGCCAGCGCGUUAUGGCGGGAACUCUAAGGAUACUGCUGGUGAUAAACCGGAGGAAGGUGGGGACGACGUCAAGUCAUCAUGGCCCUUAUGGGCUGGGCUACACACGUGCUACAAUGGCCGGUACAAAGGGUUGCCAACCCGCGAGGGGGAGCCAAUCCCACAAAACCGGUCGUAGUCCGGAUCGGAGUCUGCAACUCGACUCCGUGAAGUCGGAAUCGCUUAGUAAUCGUGAAUCAGAAUGUCACGGUGAAUACGUUCCCGGGCCUUGUACACACCGCCCGUCACACCAUGGGAGUUGGCUGCACCAGAAGCCGGUCGCCUAACCUUUCGGGGAGGGUGCCGUCCACGGUGUGGUUGAUGACUGGGGUGAAGUCGUAACAAGGUAACC